ACAACGCAUCGGCAAUGAAUGUUUUGGCUCAGCUAAUGACAAAGGAUGCAGCCAACUGUGGUGCACAACUUGACUUGCAGUACUCCGUGAAUUGUUGACAACUGAAUGCCUGAUGCACCCUUGGGAUACUCCGAAGGGUGUGUCUAGUUUGAAGUG
rnacentral:rRNA from 1 species